rnacentral:rRNA from 1 species
GACAGGGGAUGCAAGCGUUAUCCGGAAUGAUUGGGCGUAAAGCGUCUGUAGAUGGCUUUUUAAGUCUGCCGUCAAAUCCCAGGGCUCAACCCUGGCCAGGCGGUGGAGACUACUAAGCUGGAGUACGGUAGGGGCAGAGGGAAUUUCCGGUGGAGCGGUGAAAUGCGUAGAUAUCGGAAAGAACACCAAGGGCGAAGGUACGCUGCUGGGCCGAAACUGACACUGAGAGACGAGAGCUAGGGGAGCAAAUGGG